AACGAACGCUGGCGGCAGGCUUAACACAUGCAAGUCGAACGCAUCCUUCGGGGUGAGUGGCAGACGGGUGAGUAACGCGUGGGAACGUGCCCUUCAGUUCGGGAUAACCCAGGGAAACUUGGGCUAAUACCGGAUACGUGCGAGAGCAGAAAGAUUUAUCGCUGAAGGAUCGGCCCGCGUCUGAUUAGCCAGUUGGUGAGGUAAUGGCUCACCAAGGCGACGAUCAGUAGCUGGUCUGAGAGGAUGAUCAGCCACACUGGGACUGGGACACGCCCCAGACUCCUACGGGAGGCAGCAGUGGGGAAUAUUGGACAAUGGGCGCAAGCCUGAUCCAGCCAUGCCGCGUGAGUGAUGAAGGCCUUAGGGUUGUAAAGCUCUUUCGGCGGGGACGAUAAUGACGGUACCCGCAGAAGAAGCCCCGGCUAACUUCGUGCCAGCCGCCGCAGUAA
rnacentral:rRNA from 1 species